rnacentral:rRNA from 1 species
UACGGGGGGAGCAAGCGUUGUUCGGAUUUACUGGGCGUAAAGGGCGCGUAGGCGGCGUGACAAGUCACUUGUGAAAUCUCCGGGCUUAACUCGGAACGGUCAAGUGAUACUGUCGUGCUAGAGUACAGAAGGGGCAACUGGAAUUCUCGGUGUAGCGGUGAAAUGCGUAGAUAUCGAGAGGAACACCGGUGGCGAAGGCGGCGAUCUGGACGAUGACUGACACUGAGACGCGAAAGCGUGGGGAGCAAACAGG